UGAUUGGUUCACUCUACGUGAUUAAAAAGGGAAUGGGGUGAGAAUCCCCAACAGUCCGGCUGCUGUAAGUUGGCUUUAUCGGUGCGAACAGGAUGCCACUGCCUUGCGGGAAGGCGUUCGCAUACGGUCAACGAAGUCAGAAGACCUACCAUCAC
rnacentral:ncRNA from 1 species